AGCAGCAGCCACGGUAAUACAGAGGGUGCAAGCGUUAAUCGGAAUUACUGGGCGUAAAGCGCGCGUAGGUGGUUUGUUAAGUUGGAUGUGAAAUCCCCGGGCUCAACCUGGGAACUGCAUUCAAAACUGACUGACUAGAGUAUGGUAGAGGGUGGUGGAAUUUCCUGUGUAGCGGUGAAAUGCGUAGAUAUAGGAAGGAACACCAGUGGCGAAGGCGACCACCUGGACUAAUACUGACACUGAGGUGCGAAAGCGUGGGGAGCAAACAGGAUUAGAUACCCCAGUAGUCCCUGUCUCUUAUAC
rnacentral:rRNA from 1 species